rnacentral:rRNA from 1 species
AACGAACGCUGGCGGCAGGCCUAACACAUGCAAGUCGAGCGAAGCCUUCGGGCUUAGCGGCGGACGGGUGAGUAACGCGUGGGAACGUGCCCCUUGGUACGGAAUAGCCCCGGGAAACUGGGAGUAAUACCGUAUGAGCUCUACGGAGGAAAGAUUUAUCGCCAAGGGAUCGGCCCGCGUUGGAUUAGGUAGUUGGUGGGGUAAUGGCCUACCAAGCCGACGAUCCAUAGCUGGUUUGAGAGGAUGAUCAGCCACACUGGGACUGAGACACGACCCAGACUCCUACGGGAGGCAGCAGUGGGGAAUCUUAGACAAUGGGCGCAAGCCUGAUCUAGCCAUGCCGCGUGAGCGAUGAAGGCCUUAGGGUUGUAAAGCUCUUUCAGCUGGGAAGAUGAUGACUGUACCAGCAGAAGAAGCCCCGGCUAACUCCGUGCCAGCCGCCGCGGUAAAAC